CCCAUCCCAGUUCCCUUGAGGCCACGCACAUCGCCUGACACUUGCUGAGUGCUUCACGUCUCACCGCGACAGCUCCUGUCGCCCUCCCAGGGGCACAGCCUUUAGUUCUGUGUGUGGUCCAACAAAGGUGUGGCCUCGAGGCAGGGGGAUGACCGUGAGUGAGCCAGCCUGGGCUACAACCAGUUCCUAAGCAGGGGGAGGCUGAGGCCCCACACACAUCAUACGGUUAUGAAGCAAGCACGGAGCUGAUUUGCAUAUGCAGAUGAGCUCAUGCAUAUUCGUGGAAGGGCCUCGGGAGUGACGGGUAAACCACGGAUGUCCACUGGGUGGCGCUGUGAUCCGCUCUUUCAGGAUCCAAAAGGAACUCUGAAAGCCAAGUUCUGGAAAGAACACUGACACUGCGUUUAAAGACAAAAGACUCUAAAGCUUCAUAAGUUUAGGUGCCGUGGCGUUACGGUCUAUCUGAAAUAUUUCGCCAGGCACGAGCUUAUUUAGGAGGUGAAUCCCAAGGCUCCCUUUUACCUGCGCGCCCGAGCGGACAUAGCAGUUGUAUUUCACAGAAUGACCGAGAUGGCUAUGCAGAGGGAUCUGGACCACUGAGCAGAAAAGGCUGAUUCUUGAUUUGAACGAAAUAGAAAGUAAUAUUAAAGGGAAUGUGGUGUCUU